UGCCUAGCAACUCCUAUCCCUACCUCCACGUGGUACCGGCCGGAAACUAUGAGCAACCUUAGGGAAGAUCGGGUAACCAACCCCGGUGGGAACUUUGGUCGUAGGCUGACAGGAAAGG
rnacentral:ribozyme from 1 species